rnacentral:rRNA from 1 species
UACGUAGGGGGCAAGCGUUGUCCGGAAUCAUUGGGCGUAAAGCGCGCGUAGGCGGCCCGGUAAGUCCGCUGUAAAAGUCCAGGGCUCAACCCCGGAAAGCCGGUGGAUACUGUCGGGCUAGAGUCCGGAAGAGGCGAGUGGAAUUCCUGGUGUAGCGGUGGAAUGCGCAGAUAUCAGGAGGAACACCAAUAGCGAAGGCAGCUCGCUGGGACGUUACUGACACUGAGGCGCGAAAGCGUGGGGAGCGAACAGG